rnacentral:lncRNA from 1 species
UCUAUGGCUCCUACUCGCUGAAAAUGGGUGCUCAUAUAAAUUUUUCUAUUGAUUUAGGAUGGUCUUGAAGUGGGUGUUUUUGUUGGUUUAUUGGAGCCAUAUAGCUGCAUCUGAAGAUAAAUCGCCACUUAAUUCAUCUACAAAAAAUCAAAGGAUUCAUUUGAUGGAUAUAUCAAUGAUCUGCCACAAUUUUACGAGCUCAACUGAUAUCACUAUUUGCUCUCAAGAAAAAGAGAUAUCCUCAAAAAUCCUGCAUGGUUUCCCUCUUGAACCUGUUAUACUUCUCAAGGACGAAUUCGACGCACGGAAAAUACAUGGAAUAAUUAGAGAACUAUUUGACAGCCUGAUUGGAGCUCACUUCCAGGGAGAAUUCAAUUUGUCCUGCAAUGCAGAAUGCGUUCACGCGAGCGGACACAAGGUGUGCUCUUGCUUCAACUCCAGCCUGGAUAAAAACGAGGACACCUCUCUUGCCAAUCACAACUCAACUCCAGACAGUUCAACAUCAGGAGUGUACUUGAUAUUUCUGGAGUCUGGAGGUGACUCGAACCGACCCUCUACCGGGGCAACUCUCGAGCCGCGAAAUUCCCCCCGAAGAAGACCCAGAUCGUCCUGCGGUUGCGGGCUCGGAAGCAUGUUCAGCACUCUUUUCGGGAGCAGAAGUCGAAGGAGACUUACCAACUCCCAGCGGGGUCAGUUGGGGUCGCAUGGUAGCCGCUCUGCAGGGAGUCGCAGAAGCGAGAACAAUCCACCUCCACCUUUACCUUUGCCUCGGAGAAACCAGCACCAGCAAUGGGUGGGCACAGGUGGACAUGGAGCUGAAUCUCCUGAUACGGUUGUCGGUGCUCGAUUUUCAACCCCUGGUGUAUCACCCUCACGGCUCUCACCCUAGGCCGCAUCCGCGGGUGAAACGAACUCCAGCGGGUCGAUUAUUGAAAUUGUGUAUUUGUCGGGCGGACAUUAUGAUAUAGUUAUAGUUAAACGGUGGAUUGUGUUUGGUCGGCUAUGUUUCAUCGCUGCUUUGUAUUGCCUUCGUCAGGUGGAAUAGACGACAUACUGUGUCGGGAACUGAGGUGCCUUUAGCUUGUCGUGAAUUCCACCUGACAGAGGCACGACAGAGCAGCGAUAAGGCAUAGUCGACCAAGCACGCUCCGCCGUUUAACCUACGUCCGCCAGACAAACACAAAAUUUCAAUAAUCGGCCCGCAUUACUACCGUGCAAUGAAAAAACGCCAUGUGAACCUUUGUCCGCUGCGAAAUUUCCUUGGAGUAAAUACGAAUUUUCAGGAGAACAUGUGAAUGUUUACCGUUUAAUUUUUCAGAGAAUUUUCUUUGUAGUUGUAUAUAAGUCAUUGGAAAAUUCUAAGAUGUCGACGUAGGUGUGUUCGGGGGUCAAUCGAAAGAGGAAAAUGCCUCUAAGCCAUAUCUGGACUGCAUUUUGCAAUUUGGACCUAUAAAUUCUGGCUCAUCUGAAAAAACACUUAUGUGCAUAGGGAAACUAAUGGCACAUACGUUGUUUUUAAACCGGGCCGGAAUUUAUAGGUCCAAAUUACAAAAUGCAGCCCAUCUGUCGUGCUAAGGGAAAACGCCGUAUAAGCCCUCAGGCGUUGCUAAAUUUUCUUCGAUGAAAUACAAGUUUCCUGGAAAACUUGUGAAUAUUUUUCUCCCAAUUUUUUACAAGAUCUCACUAAAAAAUUAAUCUACAGUAUCCGAAAAAAAGAGAAGAUAUUCGUAACUCUCCUCAAAAAUCAACAUUUCAUUGGGGGAAAUUUGGCAACUCUGGAAUGUUCAUCCGACGCUUAUCCACAGCACGGUAGAGUAGUACUUUUCCAGUAUGAAACAAAACGCAAGGAAAUGGAGAACCGAGGCUAAACACAAACAGAAUGCCUGGGACGUUGAGGGUGUUUCAACCCCCUAGAAACAAAAAUGUAAAAAUAAAAAUAUUAAAUGUAAUUAUUUUCCUUGUUACCUCCGAUGUGAGUCUGAAGGGCUUUUGAUUUUUAUUUUUGUUGCCGGGUCGAGAAGGGGGUUGAAACCAUCCCGAAACGUUUCAGGCGUUCUGUUUGUUUUUAGUUUUGGUUUUCCAAUUUGUGUGUGUGUUUUUUUUUGUCAAAUCAUUCCAACUAUUUGCGUGUAUCAUUUUUAUUCAGUAUAUAAGUAGAAUAUUAGUAGAUGCUCUAAGAGGUUGCGUAAAUCGGAGUCUUCAAGCUUAAUGUGCUGUGUUUGAAUAUACCAUUUUGCUGCAGUAUAAGGACUGAAGCUAUGUUGAAACAAAAUACACCGCGGAGAUACUUUGCUGCGGCGUAACUUCAUAACAAUACUCAGAUGAUGGUGUGUGGUGGCAUUCACGGUACCAGCUAUAAAGUCCCCAGUUUUGAUAAUCAUUUCUACGUAGCGUCUUAAGGUUUUACCCUCUCUACGAUCCUCUCACAUUUAUUUUCCUCGGCUUUACUGAAAUAAUGUGAUCGAACUUUGCAGAUAAAAUUUUUUUGUGCAUGUUCUGCGGGCAAUUUUUUUGUCUGUGGCAUCAUUCUUAAAAAAAAGUAAUGAUAAAAUAAGUAGUUGUGCCCAUUGAUCAGUUUUUUUUUAUUCAAAAUCCUAUCUUCCAAACGCUUUCAUGACUACGCAAGUGAGUAAUUUACUCAUUUUUUGAUAUAUUUCGAUUUUUAUUAUUUUUAAGGUCAAAUGUGUAAUUUAACUUUUUGCCCAAUG